UACAGAGGGUGCGAGCGUUUGUCCGGAAUCACUGGGCGUAAAGGGCGCGUAGGCGGUCUGCUAAGCGUGCGGUGAAAGCCCGGGCUCAACCCCGGGUCGGCCGUGCGAACUGGUGGACUGGAGCUUGUCAGAGGCAGGCGGAAUUCCGGGUGUAGCGGUGGAAUGCGUAGAGAUCCGGAAGAACACCGGUGGCGAAGGCGGCCGCUGGGACAGUGCUGACGCUGAA
rnacentral:rRNA from 1 species